ACACAGCAUCUAACAAAUACUCAGAAGGUUGUGGGAACACUGUAAGCAUCAUUCCUUUUCCUAUUCUUGGAAGAGCAUCACAACUCAGAUUUCAAUGUUCACCAUAUUGUCAUUCAUAUCAGUGUAUUAGUGAAUUUAUAUGGAAGCAGAGAUAACAUGUAGGAAAUCUAGCUGUACCAUUCAUUUUAUUUAGAACCCUGCAAUCUUAACUGAAACAUUUGUUGCAUGCCAUUAAGAUAUAAAUUUUGUGGCACUUUUCUGAAGACCAGCAACAAAUAAAGAGGAUACCAUGAUUCUAAACAAGUCAUCUGUGGAGCGUGGAAUGUUUCAUUGGACAAAUAUAUCAGGUUUCUUCUUGCAAUGUUGCACUUGCACUGCACGACUAUAAAUAGCUUUUUAAAAACUUUUUUGUUCAUCUUUUAGGUCUAUUUUAGAUGGCACUAUGAACAUUCAUGUUCCCAAAAGUAUCGUUCAUUUGCUCUGCUUUUUAUUAAUUUUUCACUGGUGCUUCUUUAGCUCACCAAAUGAUGGGUUUUGCAGACAGAAACAGUUGACUUAUCUGAUCAAAAUAGCAGGUCAGAUGGUUCUCGGAAAUAUUUCAUGGAAAGUAACAUUGAGAGGCAUCGUUCAAUUGAUUCAGAUGGGCUUCCUUGUGUUGGUCAGACAAUAAAACCAGAUGAAGAAUAUUAUAGCAUCUAUAAUGAGGUAAAUAAUGAGCAACAUGCCGUCAAAUAGAAAGGUCCAGAGGAUGUUAUCGUUGACUAUGUUGCUAUAGAUGGGAAGAAGCAUCUUCAGAAUCAUCCGCAGAAGGGUUUCAUUUCCUAUGUUAAAUUCUUUUCUUUUGAGCACAUACGCUUUUGACACCCUAGAAACCCUGUCAUUAGUGAUAAGUUUAGCAGCCGACAUGGACAAAAAGGUGUUUGCUCCCAGUUGUGGCCUGAUAUUGAUAUUCCAUUUUCUGAGGUUACGGGAAUGUGUCCAGAUCUUAUCAUCAAUCCACAUGCAUUUCCUUUAAGGAUGGCAAUAGGAAUGCUCUUGGAAUCGAUUGCUGCAAAGGUUCAUUCCACUGGAAUGGUAGAUCAGAUCACCAGCCAGCCCAUCAAUGGACGAAAGGGAGGUGGAGGUAUAUGUUUUGGUGAAAUAGAACGAGACUCGUUGCUUGCGCAUGGGGCAGCCUAUCUAUUGCAUGAUAGGCUUCAUACAUGUUCUGAUUAUCACAUUGCUGCUGUAUGUUCCACAUGUGGAAGCAUCCUAACACCCUCAGUCAUCAAGCCAGAGAAACGGGUUGCACGUGCAGUUAAGGGACUGCCCCCUGUAAGAGCUCCCAAGGUCUUCUGUCAUGCUUCUGAUACGAAUAAAGGGAUGGAGACAGUUGCAAUACCCUAUGUCUUCAAAUACUUAGCUGCUGAGUUAGCAGCUAUGAGCAUAAAAAUGACCCUAAGGCUAAGUAUUUGAAGCUUGAUCCUGUUCCUAGAGGGAGGAUCAGUGUAAAAAUUAUACACUGAGAUGAAUAGAUCUUAAAGUUUUUUUUAUUAGUUUUUUAUUCUUUUC